UACUCUUUUAUUUUUGUGACGAAGUCUUUCUCGGUUUUCCACUUAUCUCCUCUAACCUAAUACCCUCGCAUCCACAGCUCGUCAGCUCGCCUCCACCACAAAUGAACGCCGUUUUGCCUCUCCGGCGUCCGGUGCCUUCGCCGGUGACGUGAGAGGGAUCAUUUGUGUCACUGGUGUUAUCUAAGUGGUGGUCGUCGGAGAUAUAGAGUUCGUGAUUUGAGAUCUCAAUUUGCGGUGCCUCGAGACAACUCCGUGGCUCGUGUUGAUGGCCUCCAAUUUGUGGAGUUCGCGGCGAGAGGAUCCACACGGUACAGCUGGAGAGGGAUUCAAUGACUAAUUGGGAAGUUGAUUUGUCGGAGAAUCUAGAAGAAUACCUUCAAAAUUAUUACUGGAGAACUCAAUGGAAAUGAAGAAGAUGGGCAGAUUCCUGUGAAUUCGCUGAAGGGCUCGGUUCAAGUUUACUCCCAAGAAAGUUGAGUACUUGUAUAAUUUGGUUCUACGUACGUUGGAGUUUCUAUCAAAGCAAAUGUUUGUCCUUUUGAACUCCUUGUGUUUUUUUCGCUUAGUGAAUAUCUAAGCUAAUUGAACUAGAUAAAACAUAAUUACUUGUUUGUGAAUAUCCUAGCAUCUCAGUUUUAGGGGCUAACUUCGAUUCAUAUUUCUCUAUGUGUAUGGGUUUUCUUUCGUGUUCACAGAUGAAGUGAAUGUAUACCAAUUGUUGCCACUGUCCAGGGCAGCCUAAGAGAUGUUUUAAAAAAGUCCCAACACUUUGAGUUUAAGGGACAAGAUCUUGACCAGACCUAUGAUACCAUAUCAUCAUUUUCUUCCGGUAGAAAUAACCAUGAGGCAGUUUUUGGAGCAGAAAAAGUAUGAAAGAGUAAGACAAUGAAGAAGAAUUGAAAUCAAAAGAGUUAAUUAAGCCAAGUUCUUUCUUAAAGAUUGUUAUCUGCUUUGUGUUAAUUAUGUUUUUAGGAGGAUGAUGUAAUUUUAUUUUUAAUAAUGUUUUUAGAUUUA